rfam:Trichobilharzia regenti genome assembly, scaffold: TRE_scaffold0090314
GUACUACUGAAGAGUCCCAAACUAGGACGAAACAGUUGUCCAGUAC